rnacentral:rRNA from 1 species
AGUGAACGCUGGCGGUAGGCCUAACACAUGCAAGUCGAACGGCAGCACAGUAAGAGCUUGCUCUUACGGGUGGCGAGUGGCGGACGGGUGAGGAAUACAUCGGAAUCUACUUUUUCGUGGGGGAUAACGUAGGGAAACUUACGCUAAUACCGCAUACGACCUACGGGUGAAAGCAGGGGAUCUUCGGACCUUGCGCGAUUGAAUGAGCCGAUGUCGGAUUAGCUAGUUGGCGGGGUAAAGGCCCACCAAGGCGACGAUCCGUAGCUGGUCUGAGAGGAUGGUAGGCCACACUGGAAGUGAAACAGGGCCCAGACGCCGGCGGGAGGAGCGAGGGGGGAAUGUGGGAAAGGGGGGGAAGGCCGGAACCACCCAUCCGGGGGGGGGUAAAGAGGCGUUGGGGUUGUAAAGCCUUUUUGUGGGAAAAAAAAAGCAGCAGGUUAAUCCCCCGCUGUUCUGACGGUACCAAAAAAAAAAGCACCGGCUAACUCCGUG